UGGACUGACCCCUUUAUCAUUAUGUAAUGUCCUUCUUUGUCUCUUGUUACUUUUUUUGUUUUGAAGUCUAUUUUGUCUGAUUCAGUAAGUAAUUGUUGAAUAAGUUUAUUCAGCCCCCAAUUGCACUAAAAUUUUGGAGCAAUUGUAUCAUACUCAUGACUCAUACUGGGCUUCCAGUCAAACUAAAUCCUUAAUACUUUUAAAAAUAUAUUCUUUAAGUAAGCUAGUUUUCUUCCAUUCUUUCCUUUUGUCCACUUUGAACUGAUAUUCAGAACAUCACCUGUUUAAUUUUCAUCCAUUGUUCUUGUCUGCACAGCUCUUUUUUAUUUAUUUUUUUAUUCUCUGACCUAGUUUAUUGUAAUGGCAUCUAAUUGAAUUAUCCACAGGUGCAGUGGGUCUACUGGCUGUUUUACUGAUGCUAUCAAUAGAAAUGUUGAAGAGGAGAAAGACCAGUAGAUUGCCAGCUUGGCACUUCAUUGUCUAGCUGGACAUGACCUCUUAUCUAGCAAUCUUUGGAUACGGUCAUUUAAUCAAAUAUAACUAUCUGUUCAUUUCAUUAUAAUUCAUCAUGUAUAUAGACAAUGAAGAACAAUCUGUGCAUUCAUUCAACUCAUUUAUUGAAAACCAAUCAUAUAUAAGGCAGUGUGCUAGGCUUUGUGUACUAAAAACCAGUGAUUAAGAUUUGACUCCUGUCCACUUUGAGCCACAAAGAGCAAAUACGACCAAUGUAGGACAAGGUAGAAGAGAAGCCUAACACAAGAGAUAGGUCAAAGAAAUUUGGAAAGUCAAAUGGAGAGGCACAUUCGUGGCUGGGUGAAACCUUACAGAAUGAGUAGGAUUAUCAUAAGUGGAAAUAAGGGUGUUAUGGUACAGGUUAAGCUGUUGUAACAAAGAGAGUCCAAAAUACGGAGGUGGCAAUAUUUUUACAACAGUGUUUCCAACAGUGGCAGUUCAUUUCUCUCUCAACAGUUAAGGAUAGGCAGGUGGUCCAAGCCUAGUUGCUCCACCCUCAGUAGGCUUCCACUUGCAUGUUCCAGGUGACUGCUGCAGUCCUCAGCAUCCCCAGCCAGAAGGAGUAGAUAGAGACCGAGAUGAACCACUCAGUCACUUUAAGGACGUAAGCAGGAAGUUGCAUACAUUACUUCUAUUCAUAUCACAUUGGUCUGUGCUUAGUCACUUGGCCACAUCCAGUUGAAAGAGAGUUGGAAAAAAUGUAGUCUUCCACUGGAUGGAUGUAGCCCCAUCCCCAGCCAAAACUCUGUCACUUUUGAAGGACAAAACAGAUGCUAGGAAGGCAAUUAACAGUGUGCCACAAAGGAGAAAGAAUUCCUUCCACGUGAGGAGAAAACUGAUUGAUUAACUAUCUCAGCUGAGUGGAAAUUAUUAGGAACAUAGAUUUAGAAAAAAUUUGCAACUCUUAGGAAGGAAUGGGCUGUCUUGAGUUAGCAUACUCCCUCUCUGAAAAUGGUCAAGAAAAAUGAUCAGAAGCACUUACACUCAAAGGGAGGAUGAAUAAAAGGUCAACCUCAAAGACUCAGCUGUGUGAUUGUCAGUAAGGUGGGGCCCAGAAGACUGAUGGGCUAUAAACUGUCAGAAAACUACAACUCUAGACCUAAUGCAAGGAAAUAAAGGUGGAAGCUAUAAGAAUGGACUGGAAGGAACAGAAAAAAGAACAAACAGAGGUUGGCUGUCCACAUGCGCACUUCUCAGAAGGCAGCUUGGGGUAGUGAAGGGCAGAUGGGGGGAAGCACAUUAGCUUGGCCACCUUAGAGAUUUGGAGAGUUGGGCUCCAGGAAGCCCUUUCUGUGCUGUGGUCAGGCAUGGAAAGCCUAGGAAAGAGAACCUGGUUCUUUAUGCAUAAAACAAUGAGCACCCAAAUAGGCUCUGCUCCUGAAAAGGCAUUUUGUUCAUGCAUAAUUAUUUUUUCUCAUUCCGUCCUUAUUUUUUUCUGUUUAAAUUCAGUCAAAGCAUUACCAAAUUUCAAAAUAAUGUGGCCAGUUUUCCCCUGCUCCACUUCUCAGUUCACCAAAGGCAUUUAAUCUGUUUGUUCUGAAAAUCCAACUGUUAACUGGAUUUAUAUGUGCUCUGAUAGGAAAUGUUUUGUGUAGCAAUAAAAAUCAUUCCCUUUGGCAGAUACCUUGUUGUUUUGUGUUCUGUCCAAGAACGAUAUUUCACAUCUGUUUAAUAGUAGCAUUUCCCCCACUAAGCAGAUUCCAUGAGUGGCCAGUUUGAAUGCCAAACUAGGGGAGUCAAAGCUUGUAGCUCCUAAUGGUUGUGCAGGGCCGUGUCUAAAGGGUCAGGGCCAUAGAAGAACGUUCUCAAGCAGCGCCUGCAGACACCUGAGAGAAGAGAGGGAGGCAUAAUUGGAAAAGGCCUCCAGUGUGGGCUCCCCUGUUCCCUGUGUCUAAGGGACUCCUGCUGUUGGCACAAUCAUAGAUGCUUCCUUGUACUGAGCACUUGCCAUGUAAUAGGCAGUGGCCUGAGAACUUACAGGCAUUAUCUCAUUUGCCUCUCGUAGUGGUUCUAUGAGGCAGGUAUCCUCACAGCUCCCAUUUUAUAGAAGAGGGAGCUGAGCUCAGAGAGCUCAGGUGACUUGUGCAAAGUCACACAGGAUUCAUACCUCACUUUGUUGGACUCCAGAGCUCUACAUCAGAUUCCUUAGAUGGAGUAUGUACUCUGAUUCUGCAUAGACUGUGUCUCUGCCUCUUGGGCAUUGCAAGCCAGGACAAUGAGGCCAUGAAGGAUUUCCAGGGGGAGAUCAGAGAGAACAGGAGCAGGCAAAGCCUGGACCUGGGCCCUAAGGGAAUUAGCUUAGCUGAGGGAAUAAGCUAACAUGGGCCAGGUGGGCCAGAGCCACUCCAUGGAAGUUGGGUGGCAUGGGGUGAAAAGUACAGAUUUUAGAGGCAGGUCACCUGAGUUCACCCUCACUGACCCUGGCCAAGAUAAUUAUCCCUUCUAUGCCUCAGUUUUCCCAUCUGUAAAAUGAACAUAAAAAUCUUAUCUGUCUCAGGAUUGUCCUGAGGAUUGAGUGAAUAUAUCUGAGAUAGAGGCUGUUGGUUACCCUACAAUCCCCUCUUUUUCCAUAGUAAUGACUCCCAAUUUUUAGCUGGGCACAUGACCUCCCACAAUAAAAACUACACUAUCCAGCUUUCCUUGCAGCUGUGUAUGGCCAUUAACUAUGGCCACUGAGAUAUAAGCAGCUGCUAAGUGGCUGCUACCUGGAAAGGCUAGGUGGCAUGUACUCUUUGCUCCCUUUUUUUCUUUGUCCCUUCUUCCAGUCUUCUGCCUGGAAUGAAUGUGAAUGUGAUGUCUGGCAUUCUGGCUGCCAUUUUGGACAAGAGGACAAGGACAACACUCUAUGGAUAAUGAAGCGGUGAGCUGGAUGGAGGCCCUGAAGACUUAAUGAGCAAAGCCACUAUACCAGUCCUUGGCUACCUACUUCUGGACAUUUACAUAAAGGAGAAGUAAACAACUCUCUUAUGAUCCUGCUGUACCAUCACUCCUGAGAUGAGCCUUGCCACUGACAUUAGUGAGUCAGCCAUAAAACAGCUAUCAAAAUUGGACCUGCAACUAGAUGAAAAGACCAGGAGGAAGUAUUCCAAGAUGGGUCUACUGGUGGUGGAAUUCAGGUUAUUUUAGUUUCUGGACACCUUGUGUUCUGGCUGCAAACACAUCAUUUAGCUUGCCAAAGACCUUCUUAAAACGAGGCCCCUGAAACUGAACUUCAAGCAAGUUUGGCAGCUGGGAUCAUGCCUGAGGCCCACAGACCCAACGCAGCCUUGCAACUAGGCCAUAUGUUAGUAGCAAGCAAGGGUGGAACCCACAUCUGGCCAGGCGGAGGCACCCACAGCAUCCUGUGGUCUAGCAGCGAGUGGCGAGUGUGCUGGCCUUUCCAAGAAUCCUGCCUGGCAGCCUGCAGCCGUGGCAUCACCUGAAGUGGCUGCUCCUCUCCACUCUCAGGAUGCCAAAGAAUGAUCGGGAAGAAACCCAAGCUUUUCAUUCUACAGAAAGCUCUUCCUACCACUGCCUCAGAUGUCUACCCUCCCAUAGCAAUCUCAACAGAACAAAAAAUAGCAAAGCUUCUUCCUCCAGCAUCCACCUACCAACGGGCUUGUCCUGCUUUGGUCUCCUGCUCACUGUUUUCAUUCCGAUCACCGUUGCUGAGGGCUGGGGUACAAACCCACCUCUGUGGCCAGGAAUCUCGACUGACAACACACCAGGCACUUGGAAUCAGACAGAGCAACUCCUUCAAAUAUCUAAGAGGAUUGAACAGGAAAAACCUAUAUAAUCUGUAUACAUCAUCUAAUUAAAUAAAACUAGUCACACUUUA